CCUACGGGAGGCAGCAGUGAGGAAUAUUGGACAAUGGGCGCAAGCCUGAUCCAGCCAUGCCGCGUGCAGGAAGACGGUCCUAUGGAUUGUAAACUGCUUUUGUACAGGAAGAAACACUCCCUCGUGAGGGAGCUUGACGGUACUGUAAGAAUAAGGAUCGGCUAACUCCGUGCCAGCAGCCGCGGUAAUACGGAGGAUCCAAGCGUUAUCCGGAAUCAUUGGGUUUAAAGGGUCCGUAGGCGGUUUAAUAAGUCAGUGGUGAAAUCUGGUCGCUCAACGAUCAAACGGCCAUUGAUACUGUUAGACUUGAAUUAUUAGGAAGUAACUAGAAUAUGUAGUGUAGCGGUGAAAUGCUUAGAUAUUACAUGGAAUACCAAUUGCGAAGGCAGGUUACUACUAAUGGAUUGACGCUGAUGGACGAAAGCGUGGGGAGCGAACAGGAUUAGAUACCCUGGUAGUCCACGCCGUAAACGAUGGAUACUAGCUGUUCGGAGCAAUCUGAGUGGCUAAGCGAAAGUGAUAAGUAUCCCACCUGGGGAGUACGUUCGCAAGAUGAAACUCAAAAUGAAAUUGAGG
rnacentral:rRNA from 1 species